GGAGUUAGCCGGUGCUUCUUCUGUGAGUGAUGUCCUUCCUGCCGGCUAUUAACCCGCAGGCCUUCUUCCUCACUGAAAGUGCUUUACAACCCGAAGGCAUUCUUCACACACGCGGCAUGGCUGGAUCAGGGUUGCCCCCAUUGUCCAAUAUUCCCCACUGCUGCCUCCCGUAGGAGUCUGGGCCGUGUCUCAGUCCCAGUGUGGCUGAUCAUCCUCUCAGACCAGCUACGGAUCGUCGCCUUGGUGAGCCGUUACCUCACCAACCAGCUAAUCCGACAUAGGCUCAUCCGAUAGCGCGAGGCCCGAAGGUCCCCCGCUUUCCCCCGUAGGGCGUAUGCGGUAUUAGCCUGGGUUUCCCCAGGUUAUCCCCCACUACCGGGCAGAUUCCUAUGCAUUACUCACCCGUCCGCCGCUCGCCACCAGGGAGCAAGCUCCCCGUGCUGCCGCUCGACUUGCAUGUGUUAGGCCUGCCGCCAGCGUUCAAUCUGAGCCAGGAUCAAACUCUGA
rnacentral:rRNA from 1 species